CCUACGGGCGGCAGCAGUGGGGAAUAUUGGACAAUGGGGGCAACCCUGAUCCAGCCAUGCCGCGUGUGUGAAGAAGGCCCUCGGGUUGUAAAGCACUUUCAGUGAGGAAGAACGCCUGGUGGUUAAUACCCAUCAGGAAAGACAUCACUCACAGAAGAAGCACUGGCUAACUCCGUGCCAGCAGCCGCGGUAAUACGGAGGGUGCGAGCGUUAAUCGGAAUUACUGGGCGUAAAGCGCGCGUAGGUGGCUUGAUAAGCCGGUUGUGAAAGCCCCGGGCUCAACCUGGGAACGGCAUCCGGAACUGUCAAGCUAGAGUGCAGGAGAGGAAGGUAGAAUUCCCGGUGUAGCGGUGAAAUGCGUAGAGAUCGGGAGGAAUACCAGUGGCGAAGGCGGCCUUCUGGACUGACACUGACACUGAGGUGCGAAAGCGUGGGUAGCAAACAGGAUUAGAUACCCUAGUAGUC
rnacentral:rRNA from 1 species